AACCUGGAAACAGAUGCUAAUACCGGAUAACAACAGAUGAUGCCUAUCAACUGUUUAAAAGAUGGUUCUGCUAUCACUCUUGGAUGGACCUGCGGUGCAUUAGCUAGUUGGUAGGGUAACGGCCUACCAAGGCGAUGAUGCAUAGCCGAGUUGAGAGACUGAUCGGCCACAUUGGGACUGAGACACGGCCCAAACUCCUACGGGAGGCAGCAGCC
rnacentral:rRNA from 1 species